UGGGGAAUAUUGGACAAUGGACCAAGAGUCUGAUCCAGCAAUUCUGUGUGCACGAUGAAGUUUUUCGGAAUGUAAAGUGCUUUCAGUUGGGAAGAAAAAAAUGACGGUACCAACAGAAGAAGUGACGGCUAAAUACGUGCCAGCAGCCGCGGUAAUACGUAUGUCACAAGCGUUAUCCGGAUUUAUUGGGCGUAAAGCGCGUCUAGGUGGUUAUGUAAGUCUGAUGUGAAAAUGCAGGGCUCAACUCUGUAUUGCGUUGGAAACUGUAUAACUAGAGUACUGGAGAGGUAAGCGGAACUACAAGUGUAGAGGUGAAAUUCGUAGAUAUUUGUAGGAAUGCCGAUGGGGAAGCCAGCUUACUGGACAGAUACUGACGCUGAAGCGCGAAAGCGUGGGUAGCAAACAGGAUUAGAUACCCUGGUAGUCCACGCCGUAAACGAUGAUUACUAGGUGUUGGGGGUCGAACCUCAGCGCCCAAGCAAACGCAAUAAGUAAUCCGCCUGGGGAGUACGUACGCAAGUAUG
rnacentral:rRNA from 1 species